rnacentral:lncRNA from 1 species
UGGAGAGGGCGAGAGUGGUGACUAAAGAGAGGAGCCUUUCCUCCCCUUUUGCCUGCGCUCCGGCGCGCGGAGAGAGGGAGGUAGGGAGAGAGACAAACACAGAGCUAGAGAAAUUGAAAGAGAAACAUUCUCGAAGGCAAAGAGUUGAAAGGUGAAUCUACUAAGAAAAGAAUAACAGAGUGCAAUUAGCCAUGGAACUACAUCUCCAUCUGCCUCCUUUAAAGGAUGAGUCCUUUAAAGAGCCUUUGGAAGGAAUUGGGCCAUGAGAAGAGCCCUCAUGAAUGGGAUUAGUUCCCUUAUAAGAAGAGACACCAAGGAAGUGAUCUUUCUCUGCCCUCUGCUAUGUGAAGACAAGGUCAUCUGCAGUUUUUUGUUGUUGUUGAUGAUCUUCCUGUCAUAGACAAUGCUGUAACAAACAGACUAGAGAUAAUAAGCUCACUUUACCUCAGGACCUUUGCAGCAGCUCUGCCCUGUGCUUAGAUUGAUCUGUCACGAAACCUUAAAGUCUGGCUGAUUCUCAUUCUUCAGAUUCCAGGGCAAGUGCUAAGUCCUAAGUGCUAAGUGGUUACAAGGGACCCCAGAAUCAUGCUGGAGGUGAAACAGUGACAGAACGGGCACUUCCAGUAAGAAACUGAAGACUGGCUGCACAUCAAUUCACUCAGCGACUGGAGGUAGAGCUUUUGGAAACAGGUAAGUUACUAAAUGUGAAAUUCAAGUGAUUAAAAGGUUUUGACACCAAAGCAACUAACUUCAUACCAUAGUUUGGCAUUCGUUGUCUCAGAAGAGAAUUAGCAUUUAGAAACUGCAGCCUCAGAGAACUGUGAGAAGGCUUUCAGGCACUGAGAAGGAGCUCCUAGAAGGAGAUCAACCCAACAUGGAGUUGUAAGCAAGUACUACAACACAGAGUAAGAAAAGCCACAAUAAGGUAGAUACUGAUCAUCUUUAUUUUCUAGGCAGAUUUUAUUUUGUAUGUUGUAGAUUUUGCUAUUAUUCUAGUUUAAAGGGACUUAUCUCAAUUCACAGUUCAGUUAAUCUUGAUUUAUUGUACAAGUUCUUAAAAAGUUAUCCCUUUUUCAGACAAUAGUUAAAUUUUGUACUAUAAUUUUUAACCCCAUAACACAUCAAAUAAGUAGAGUAUAAAAAGCAAUAUUUCAAUAUUAUGCAUUUAGGCUGAUAUAAAGUGUACUAAUUAAGUUUAUACUACUUUUUAAAAUCAGAAAAUAUCAUGUGAACAAAACUUAGAUUAUACAUCAUAUUUGAUGAACCCAAAAGAAGGGCAGGACUGGGUAUGGUUUAUAGGGUGUAAAUGCUGCUUAUUACAGGAUAUUUUAUUCUAACUACUAUCUCAGAAGAAAAAAAAGUGGAAUAAAAAGCAAUGUUAUGGAAAAUAACUGAAUAUUUUAGUUUUGGUGCUAGAGAGAAUCUAAUUUUCAUUUUUAUUUAAGCAGACUCUAUGACUACAUGCAGAAACGCUAGCAAUUGUUUCAUCUGGGUCCUAUAGAAGACUGUGACCUUCUGGGGAGGAUCUGUCAAUUCACUGAUGUUAGAAAAGUAACCAGCUUUAACUCAGGGCAGACUGACUUGGAAUAAUGUAAAACCAAACCAGGAUAUCAUAAGGUAAUCUAAGAGCUUAUGUAGAAAAAGCUAAAAUACAAAAUUUCAAUUAAUAUUAGCUCUAAUCAAUAGUCACUGGAGAAAAUAGUUAUAUGGGUUUAAAUUGUGAACUUUUGAAGUAGUUAUAUAGAAAAGAAAAACCUUCAAGUCUUUAUGUUUUAGAAGUUUGAACACAGAGUGCUUCAGCAAAGAAGAAUCCCUUCUCCAAAUCCUUUGCUGUUUGUGAAAUAUUUAUGCAGGUGAAAAUGAAAGAAAUGUUUCCAUAUGAAGAAGUUAGUAAUGGAACUCGUCAUUCUCUUUUUAUAGUCAUAUAUUGACUGUAUGUCAUUCAGUAUCCUUGGCUAUUAGAGAAUGGCCACAGCACAGAAUGACUGGGAGCAGAGAUAGUCUCCAAAUAGUCUGGAUUUGAUAUUUAAAUGUCUUAAAUAUACAUGUCAAUUAUAGAAAUAAUAUUAUGAACAUGGCCAGUUAGAAUUUGAAGCAUUACAACAUCAGAGCAGUCACAUUUUAUUGUAAUAAAAUGAAUGUGGGCUUUGGGGCAGACUUACUUGUAUUCAAAUUCAGGUGCUGCCACUUUGAGUGAGUCUUUAAGCAAAAAAAUUUUUUUUUCAUUUUUAAUGUUUAUGGGUACAUAAUAGAUAUAUAUCUAUAUACUAUAUAUAGAUAUAUACUUACGGAGUACACGAGACUUUUUAACACAGGCAUACAAUGCUGGACAAAAAUUUUUUAUUUCACUUUAAUAGUAAUUUGUAGUAGUAGCACAGUCAAAACAGUAAUAAUAGUAUUUAUUGAGCAUUUACUGUGUUCCAGGCAUCAUUCUAAGUUCUUUUCUAUAUUCCUUUAAUUCUCACAAAAUCCAAUGAGAUAAGUAUUAUUAAUAUCCUCAUUUUACAGAAAAAAAUUGUCACCAAUUU